GUUCCUGUAGCGCAAUGGAUAGCGUAUUGGACUUCUAAUCCAAACGUUGUGGGUUCGAAUUCCACCAGGGAUG
rnacentral:tRNA from 1 species